UAAAGCAUGCUUGUAUAGAAUUUGAGCUAUGAGCAUGUCAUAUGUUUGACGAAAUUCCUGAAACAAAUGUGUGUAAUUUUUAUGUUUGUUUUUCUUAAUGGUUUGGUAGGUCCUUUUUUUUAAUGGUUUGGUAGGUCUUUUUUUAAUGGUUUUGUUUUCAUGCUUUGUUUAUCUGUACUAGUACAGUACAAACAUGCAUCUCUUUUAUUCUCCCAUCAUGCUGAAAACACUUGCCCCAAUGAGGAGAAACAAUCAGGCCAGAAACUAUAGGGGGCUUAGGCUCUUCAGGACCUGCUACAGGUGAGGAGGCAUGGAGCACAUCGCUAUGCCUACACCAUGGACCAGAGCACGAUUACACAAGGAGACCACAGACAUAAAACUUUAGCUAUGAAAUCAUCAGAAUUUCUAUUUGGUAUAUGAUUGACAAAGCAUGAUCAUACAGCCAACCCCAAAAUGGUGGGAUGAGGCUAGGAUGAUGAUGAUGGUGAUGUAAAUAAAUAAAGAAAAAGAAAUUGAAACAAAGAUUAGUGACUAACCAGGGAGUGUUGGUGUGAAAAUGGAAAAUCUCCAACUGUCCUAUUUUGGCAAACAAAUGUCUGUGAAUCAGAGAUUAGGAUUGUUCAACCAAUCUAAUCUUGGGAUUGUGACUUAGCAGUAGUGAACUACACAAUAUACUUGUUUUGGUUAAGUUAAGCUUGUUUUGGUUUUUGCAGGGCAUAAUUGAAGUGCAUAGAAGGAUUUUUAUUUUUUUUUUCAUUCAUCAAUUGCUUGAAGGUGGUGUAAAAUAUUCGUUUCUUUGGUGAAUGAUUUUAUGUUGUGUUGAUGAGCAGGUAGCCAAGGACAUAUAACUGCUAGAUUCCAUUGCUGAGAAGUAACCCCAAAUCUUCUCUGAAGAAUGCAAGUAUUAUUGAAGUUAUUAGCACAUGGGAUGACCAAAAAUGAGUGAUGCCCCAUUGGUUUGACCUGGAAAAUUUAUUAUAACUAACCUUUUCAAGUAAUUGGAUGAUUCAUAUGAUCCAGUAAUAUUUGUUGUUUCAUGUCUACUUGUUGAGGCAAGGCUUUUAAGAUUAAAUGGUUGUAGCUUGUUGGGAAGUAAUGGGAUUUUGGUUGUUAAGCUAUUAGCGGCUCUUACUUUUUUAGUUGGAGAGCAUUCUGAUUACAGUAUAUCUGCAUCCAACAUGACU